rnacentral:rRNA from 1 species
UGGGGAAUUUUGGACAAUGGGCGAAAGCCUGAUCCAGCAAUGCCGCGUGUGUGAAGAAGGCCUUCGGGUUGUAAAGCACUUUUGUCCGGAAAGAAAUCCUUGGCUCUAAUACAGUCGGGGGAUGACGGUACCGGAAGAAUAAGCACCGGCUAACUACGUGCCAGCAGCCGCGGUAAUACGUAGGGUGCAAGCGUUAAUCGGAAUUACUGGGCGUAAAGCGUGCGCAGGCGGUUUGCUAAGACCGAUGUGAAAUCCCCGGGCUCAACCUGGGAACUGCAUUGGUGACUGGCAGGCUAGAGUAUGGCAGAGGGGGGUAGAAUUCCACGUGUAGCAGUGAAAUGCGUAGAGAUGUGGAGGAAUACCGAUGGCGAAGGCAGCCCCCUGGGCCAAAUACUGACGCUCAUGCAGCGAAAGCGUGGGGAGCAAAACAGGAUUAGAUACCCUGGUAGUCCACGCCCUAAAACGAUGUCAACUAGGUUGUUGGGGAUUCAAUUUCCUUAGUAACGUAGCUAACGCGUGAA